CAGCAGCCGCGGGAAAACGGAGGGGGCUAGCGUUGUUCGGAAUUACUGGGCGUAAAGCGCACGUAGGCGGCUUGGUAAGUUAGAGGUGAAAGCCUGGAGCUCAACUCCAGAAUUGCCUUUAAGACUGCCGAGCUAGCAGGUGAGAGAGGUAAGUGGAAUUCCGAGUGUAGAGGUGAAAUUCGUAGAUAUUCGGAAGAACACCAGUGGCGAAGGCGGCUUACUGGCUCAUACUGGACGCUGAGGUGCGAAAGCGUGGGGAGCAAACAGGAUUAGAUACCCCCGUAGUCCCUGUCUCUUAUAC
rnacentral:rRNA from 1 species